rnacentral:rRNA from 1 species
UUCCAGCUCCAAUAGCGUAUAUUAAAGUUGUUGCGGUUAAAAAGCUCGUAGUCGAAUCUGUGUCCCGCGCCGCCGGUUCAUCGUCCGCGGUGUUAACUGGCGUGCCGCGGGACGUCCUGCCGGUGGGCUUAGCUCGCAAGGGCGGCCCAACUCUCAAUCCCGCCGCGGUGCUCUUCACUGAGUGUCGAGGUGGGCCGGCACGUUUACUUUGAACAAAUUAGAGUGCUUAAAGCAGGCUAAAACUUCGCCUGAAUACUGUGUGCAUGGAAUAAUGGAAUAGGACCUCGGUUCUAUUUUGUUGGUUUUCGGAACCCCGAGGUAAUGAUUAAUAGGAACGGAUGG